UACGAAGGGGGCUAGCGUUGCUCGGAAUCACUGGGCGUAAAGGGUGCGUAGGCGGGUCUUUAAGGUCAGAGGUGAAAUCCUGGAGCUCAACUCCAGAACUGCCUUUGAUACUGAGGAUCUUGAGUUCGGGAGAGGUGAGUGGAACUGCGAGUGUAGAGGUGAAAUUCGUAGAUAUUCGCAAGAACACCAGUGGCGAAGGCGGCUCACUGGCCCGAUACUGACGCUGAGGCACGAAAGCGUGGGGAGCAAACAGG
rnacentral:rRNA from 1 species